CAAGGAAGAGGUUUGAGGGGAGGGCCUCGCCUAUCAAGCUUGACAGGGAAAUGAGUUAAACAUGCAGUCACUCCACCCCAUCAAGGCAGAAGCCCAACUGGAUUGUCCCAGGUGACUACAAUAAAAAGGAAGCUGGUAUAAAAGGAGUGAUUAGGAACAGGCUUGCUUUUCAGAAUAGGGGUACAAUGGGUUAGUGCUUGAGAACAGAAGUGAUGGAAAAUUUGAGGGAACCAAUCCUUAAACAGAGAAGAGGUCUGAGACUCCAGGUGAGAUGAGCCUAAUGAUCGCCUUUACAAGGUGUUUACAAAGGCUCCACGAGGCAUCUCAAUUUGUGUGCUGAACCGCAUCAAGCACUGGAGCCACUUUCCUGAUGACAGAAACGCCCUGCUCUGCUGGCCAGCGUUGUCUGCACACAUGGGACAUGAGUUUCAGGGACAGUGGCAAACAGAAGCAGGAAGAAUACCUGAAGACCACCCCUCACUUUGCCUGUCUCUGGUACAAUGCACUCAUUUGGGCUGUCAGAUGAAACCAACAGCCAUCCUUUAGACUUCUCUAGACUUUCUCUUUGAGAAAACAAAGGUCAUACAACACUGUAAGGGCCUUCUGGAGAACAAUGCUGAUCAUUCAAGUUUCAUCCUGCAAGCCAGUACAGACCAAUGAUGUUUACUGGGUCAGCUUCUCAUCAUUCCCAAAUAUCUAACUGCACAGGUAGCAAAAGAAGCAAGCUGAUGUUCUCCCACCAUCCUCGCACGUGAUGGGGCACUAAUAUUUACACAAAUCCAACGCCAUAUGACUUAUCACCAGCUGUUACACAUAUGCUGUUACACAUACAGACUGCUAGUUACACUACUCCUGGUUUCACUCUGGAUUUGCAUUGGUCCUUGGUACUUUUAAGCCUUCAGUGGUAGGUGGAUCCCCACGGCAUCUCCACCCUCAGCCGUUCUGUCUAAAGAGCAGCUGGCCCAGUUUCACCCACACAGUUCUGUGCUUCCAUUGCCUCUCUUGCCAUAGGCUCUCACCCAAGGUGCAAAGCCACAUCUGCAGUAUUUGCAUGAUGGCCAAUGACUGCUGCCCCUUCCUUUACUUUCCCUUCACUUGCCUUUUCCUGCCUCCCUUCUCCACACAUCCCUGUUGCUGGCUUCAGUCCUGAAAUGACUUUCUGAUAGACAAAAUGUCUUUAAAUCUGUAGUGUUCACUAUCCUUCAACUUUUCCUUUUUAGAGCUAAUCUGCUUUCAUUGCCACCAUAUAUAACUUGGAAUGACAGAUAAUAGUGUAAGAGAGAAUAAUAUUCUAAAUACUUAAACAAAUUUUAUUUUAUUUUUUUAAUUGAAAGGUCCUUCCUGAUGCUGAUAUUUCCGUAUAACUGCUUAAGCAACUGUUUUUCCUUGGAAGAUCUGAAAUCCCAAUUGAUCAGAGAAAUGAAAACAGAGAAAAGGCUUUCCUCUUGACAUGGAGGAUUUGAUUGUGUCCUCACAUAUAUUUAGUGUAGUGACUUAUCCCUGCAAAGCCCAAAAAGAGAACAAAUGGUAUGCUCUGCUUAUGAAUAGUAUAGUAGCAUGAUUGCAAAAUUUACAGGAACACCAGCUUUAUUUCUGUGUGUUAUUAGUCUUUAUAACUAGCAAGCUGUUAAGAAUUAGUUCAUCAUCUUUUUCUUUACACCACAUUUAUGCCCUUAUGUUAAAAUCACAUCUGAAUGGACAGCUAUGAGAUCAAACUAAUUAUUUGAGAUUAAACUGAGUUUUCAGAUAAAAAUACAAAAGUGAUGACUCUGUAAAGAGAAGUUCCUCACCUGAAAGUCACCUUUAGCCUUAAGUCAGCACAACUUGCACUGCAAACUCUUGGGACCAAGCUCAGCUGAGGUGAAGAAAUGUGUCAGGGGAGUGCUUCUGUGGUACUGCAUGAACAUAUGGAUGCAGUAAAAGUGGCCAGGCACCGUGCUGUGGAUUUGCUGUGUGACUCUGAGCAUAUCAGUGCAGGCUCUGAUCUUCAGAGGACAUUGGGGAGAACCAGAGCACAGAUCUUUUACAACAGUACAAGGAUUGCAUGUAGAUGUAUAUAAAAUCCAUUGUAUGUAAAUAGAACUCUUUUUAGACUGAUGAACAUGGAGUAAAAAUUGGCAAGCAGUCAGACAUGUGAACACAUCUUCCUCCUCCAUUAGCCCACAGUCUUGGUCUUGCUUGCAAUUUUAGACCAUCCUUUCUCCAGUCCCACCACUGAUCUAUACAGAAAUUAAUUUGAAUCUGUGGUAUUCUGUGGAAGAUUGCAACUUAAAUUUCAAGGGAAUGAAUGACAGUAAGGGUAGAGUUGUGGUUUAUGCACUCCAGAGAUGCGGGUUUAUUUCUUUACAGCAUCCUGUAAAGAUGGACACAUCACAGAGUGUGCUGCUGAGUGAUUCAGCUUUCCAGCUCCUAAGAUAAAGAUGCUAUUUCAAAGAUAUUGGAAUACUGUAGUGGUUUGACAUUUUGUGAGUUUUUAAAAUGUCUCCCUUGGAUUUAAUUCUCCAAAUUGAUGGUUAAACCACAGACCUAGAUAAGACAGAGAUUUGAAGUAAGAAAAACAAUGUAGAGUGCAUCAGAAGUUGAAACCAAUUCACACAAGCCUCAGAAGAAAUAAAGGGAGAAGGUAAAAAUACCAAUCCCAUACAUCCUAGAAUUUUGUGAUAGAUCUAUGAGCAUUUUUAAGUCAUAAAGGACUCACUGUCAAACCUCUGGCACUUUGGAUAUUUCCUUUCAUGAAAGGGCAAACGUUUUGUACAGUCUGUUUAUGGUAUCACAAUGAGGAAACACUCAAAUAGAGGUAAAUAGGAAAGUUGGUACUUUGACUUUGGAGUCUUCGAAAAUUCCCAGGGAUUCAAGGAAAGAAGAUGAUCAAACAGUUUACUCUGCUGCAGUAUCCUUGGCCACCUGGAAUAUAUCACAUAACAGUGUGACAUUGCUCCGUAUUACUUUGGUAAUCCAAUAAAUGUGAAUUCAACCCUGGGGAAAUAUAACUGCAUAAAAAUGUAAUUAUUGGCUUAUAAAAAUCAUACUUUCCUCAUG